UACAUAGGUCGCAAACGUUAUCCGGAAUUAUUGGGCGUAAAGGAUGCGUAGAUGGUUCAGUAAGUUACUGGUGGGAAAUCGAGGCCCAACCUCGUGGAAGUUAGUAAUACUGUUGAACUUGAGUGCAGGAGAGGUUAACGGAACUUCAUGUGGAGCGGUAAAAUGCGUAGAUAUAUGAAAGAACAUCAAUAUGGCGAAGGCAGUUAACUAUUCUGCUACUGACAUUGAGGCAUGAAAGCGUGGGGAGCAAAACGG
rnacentral:rRNA from 1 species